ensembl:lncRNA
GCACAUAACCACAUUUUGUGUUUGUCAUAUUCUUUUUAACUCUACAAGGCAAAUGUGUAAGUAAACAUCUGUUAUUUACCCUGCAGUAGAAUAUAUAACAUUGCCACACAAUCAGUAUUCACUCACAGAUUUGCACUACUGUGCAGAGGUCUUGAGAUUGCCCUAAUUUCAUUAUAUUUUGCUAGAAAAAUGGGAAAAAGCUACAGCAAUUUAUUGGAACAUAUGCAAAGAUACAUGGAAAUAAAGUAUAUAAGGCAAAAAAAAACCCAACAACCUACUUUCAUUCUUCUGCCCAGCCUGAAUCACCUUUUUGGUGAUAAAUUACUAAAUAAUACUAAAAUACUCCCAAAAUGCAAUUUUUUGUAGAUUAGUUAAAUGGGAACAAAUUGUGUGUUGUUGCAACAGGCUGUUGUAUAACAGCAUGCCAAAAGCUCCUAUAUUAACCUCCUAGGACCUUUUGUCCACAUAUGUGGACAUCACAUUUUGGGUUAUAUAGACCAAAAUACUAAAUUUUGCUCUACAAGGGCUUGAUAUCCACUUACGAGGACAUUAUACUGCUACUGUUCUGUCGAAAUUUUAAAUGAAUAUAUAUGUGGCUCUCAUUUUUCUUGGAAAGAAAAAUUAAGUUAAAAAAAAAUCUGGUAAUUCUUCGUUUUUACAUUUCUCAGUUCCCAAUCAGCCCAAAUAUCAAAGAGAAAUUAAAAAUGCAUGCCGUGGAAGAGUUCGGGUCUUAGGAGGUUGAAACAGGUUCUUUGCCAAGUUUCCCUUUUAUCUGUAGACAAAACAGUAGUUCAUCUCUUGAGUUAGAUUGAUCGUUUGGUAAUUAGUGGCUAAACAAACCUCUUCCUUCAGCUGCUCCCUUUAUCUGUCACCACAGCAGAUUAUUUGCCUCUUCUGUCACACCAGCCCUCUGCAUGUCCUUCAUUACCACUUUAUCCUCUGAGUAUUCCGCUUCUCCUCCUGGAAGCUCCAUAUUCAACAUCAUUCCACUGUCCCUCCUUUGCACAUGUCCAAACCAACGCAGUCUCUAAAUUUAAAAAAAAAAAAAAAAAAGGCUAACCAAAUAAACAAAAUGGCUAAAAUAAAUAAAUACUCUGAAAAUAUUGAGGUACAAGGGCUAGACCAGGGGUCAGCAACCUUUAACACCCAAAGAGCCAUUUGGACCCGGUUUCCACGCAAAAGAAAACACUGGGAGCUGCAAAUACUUUUUCACAUCUAAAAUGAAGAUAACACUGUAUAUAUUGUUUUUUACUUUUAUGCUUUGUGUGAACAACUAAAGUAAGUAAGUAAUUUAUUAAGCGCUUUUCACAGACAGGCAGUCACAAAGCGCUGUACACAAAGAUUAAAAUAAACAAUACAAUCAAUAGACAUUAUACACAAUUUAAAAGAUCAAAUGGAAAUAAUGUAAAGAAUAUAAAAUACGUAGAUCAACAAAAGGCUUGUUUGAACAGAAAGGUUUUCAACUGCUUUUUAAAAGAAUCCACAGAGCAACUAAGGUGUGUUGCUUAUGAAAUCCAUGAAGUGCUACAGAGAAAAUUACAUUUUAUUUAUGUAACCAACACAUUUUGAACUCCUAAAGAAAUAUAACAAAAGGAAAGACACCCAGCUGAACUAAAAUGAUCCAUGUAGCAAACAAAAACUGUUGUGAGCCGCGACCCUCAUAUCGCCUUUGGGCUUUUGGAGCCUUGACCUGACUUUUAAAAAAUAAUUG